AGCACAUGAUUUACACUGUGACAUGGAGAUCACAGGACCUCACACCUCCGGCGGUGGAGAGGAUCCGAGGACCCAUUCUCAAGGGCUUAGCGUUGUGCCUGGACCAGAGGAAGCAGUCAAUCCAUUCUUUUUAUGUUUCUCCAUACCGAUGGCUUCGACAAGCAUUGAUUGAGCACCAGCUAUGUGAAGGCAUAUGCGUCUCUGUUGGAAGGAGAAUUGCUACGUGUCCUACAUUCUCCUACUGCCAUCAUCCACCAAGGCGUGGCCGGGUGCAUGCUGACCCUCUGCAUUCAGCAGGCUGGGAAGCAGUAGAGCAUCUUCAGACUGGCGAUUACUGUAAUUAUGCUGAGAAACAGAGGGCUGGCUGAGAUUAGAACUGGGGAUUACAAGGAAAUCGUUGAAGACAACUCACGCUUCUAUCGACUCUAGGAACACUGGGAACGACGUUCUACACAAUAUUGCCCAUGUCCUCUAAGAUCCAUGUGACUGUUUCUCCAGAUUUCAGCAACAGAGAAAGAAAAGAAGCAAUCAUCAACUCACUUGGAAAUACUUGAUAAGGCUUACUGUGUGACAAUGGAGUGAAUGCUGCUAUGUCCAAGCUGUCAACACAUUUUACUGUGACAUUGGUGAAUGUUUUAGGCAAGAAGCUGUCUCAGUGAAUUUAAUGGGAAAGAAAUCACUUGGCAAAUGUCUCCAUUGCCCGUAAUUCACUGCCCCACCCCUCUAGUCCUACGGUAGGAUAGUCUGACAUACAUUUUGUAUCUUUCCAAAAAUGAUGUCCUGCAUUUGGGGCUUAUUUGUAGCUGCAGACAGGUGGGAAUAAGAGACUCUUUUGUCUCCUUGUCUAGCCCAUUACUAUGGAAAGCUGUCCAGAAUUAAAUUCCGUUCUCUCCUGUCAGGUUGCAUUACAGAGCUCGGUGUCCAGAAAGAGAGACUAGUGUGACAGCAUGGACUGGAGGUGGUGGAAGAUAAAUCAAGCUCAGUUUAUCCCUCUUAUUCCUAAGGAAAAACACAUCCCUCAUGGAGGCAGACAACUGUCUCACGUUGCUCUGGUGUUUACAGAAAGACAGAGCAGACUGUGGUGUGGGAGGGGGUGUAGAUAUGUGGUGUCGCCUUAAGGAUUCUGAAUGUCUAGAUCAUUUCUUUUUGGGCACAAUUUGGAAAUUUAUUUGGGAAUCCUGCGGUAUAGCCCACAUGAUUUGGGUGUUUCUUGGGGAUGAUGUGAAUAUUGGAUUCUCUAUUUAGAAAUUGUGUCUUGAUUAAGCCCUUUUCACUCUUUGAAUAUUUUUGAUUUUUAUUUCAAAAUAACCCAGUCCUUCUACUUAUGAGACACACCUAGGGCACCAUGACUAAUGCUUUAUUGUGGCUUUCUUACCUCAGCCUCUUCUUUCCCCUCCACUGCAGACAACCAGUUGGAAGCGUCUGUCAUACCUGCUUCCACUCUUUUUUUUAUCAUGCUCAGAUACGUGCAUAUACAGUUCUUGUUUGCAUUGCUGUGUGUAAAAUUCUUCCGUAUUAUAUACAUUUAUCUGCACCUUGAUUUUGUCACUUAAAAUAUAUUAUGGAGAUAUUUCCAGCUAACUGGUAUAGUUAUAAACCAUCUAUGGGAUGAAGAUAUCUUAAUUUAUUAGAGUAUUGCCCUUUGGUAGCUUUCAAUUUAUUUCUAUGUCUUUUGUUCUUUUCUGUUUUGUUUUGCCCCUGAAAGACCUGAUUGUGAUAAUCUUCCUUAUUCCUGAGUGUACCAGCAUUUUAAUUUUAGGAGAUAGAUUUACAAGAAUGGGAUUACUGGAUUAAAAUGUGUAUUUUAGUUGAUAUUACUAGAUUUCUUUUCCCAAAAGCUAUAA
rnacentral:lncRNA from 1 species